UCCGAGGCACGCUCGUCCUGAUGGAAUCGAGCAAGGAAACCUCGGACUGCUGUUCCCACGGGUGCCGUUGGGAUCCGGGCUGUAGAGGCCACGCUGUCCCCAAGGCCGGGUUCCUCUCCCCCUCUCUGCGGGUGUUAUUUACACCGUUUCCUGCCCAGGGAAGUUCAGGAGUUUGACGUUACUGGGUUGGUUUCCGCUCUCCUGCCCGGCUCCCUCCGGGAGCUGUCGCAGAGCCCGGCAGCAGCCGGGCCGGUCCCCGUGGGCGGGAUGGAGGUGCCAGCCAGGCCAGGGAGGGAAGUGUAACCCAUGUCAGGCCGGACAACUCGGGCUCAACCAGCUUGGGAGGGCUGGAGAACCAGCCCUGUGUCCAUCCCUCCGCCUCAGUCCUGCUGUGGGACUGGACAGGGCCGGCAGGAGGAAGGAGGACGCGCCCGGGCAUGGCUGCAGAGCUUUUUGGGUUCCUGCCGAAUUGACGCCCUCCCCUCUCCCCCCUCAUCCUUCCCGCCUGGCCUGCGUCUCCCCUCCCUCCCUUCCCUUCUCCCUCCCAUCCCGCAGCAAACAAAAUGGCUGCUCCAUGGCCAUUUUGUUUCCCAUCUGGAAGGGGGAAGCCGGGACGCUGGGACUUGGCUCUUUUUUGGAGGCUGCGGCCAUGUCCGAGCCCAACUCUCCCGUCUCUACGUGGCACCAGCUGUAGCAAGAGAGAGAAAGGGAAAAAAAAAGGAGAAAAAAAAAAAAAAAAGGACAUUUUGGAACGAGACCAAAGGCAGAGGCAGAGAGUGGGUAGUUUUGGCGUAUGUUGAGCACUGAAAAUGCCUGGAAUUGCCAAACUGAGCUUUUGUAUGAGCAGCGUAAGGGCUACUCGGUGCACGCAGAGCCGCGGGGCUGCACGGAAUAGCCGGACGGAAAGUGAUUCUGCAUCUCCUUCAGUAGCCUGGAUGUCUUGGCGUUAGUAGCCACGUCGCUUUGUUCAUGGACACUCCGAGGAGCAGAUCCCUGCCCUGUGGCACGGGGGGAUCAGGCUCUGAUAAGGUGUUGGAAUGAUUGUCCUGCCGUUCCUUGAGUGGCUUUCCAGACAUGUGGAGAGGAGCAGAGACUUCCAGAGCGGAGCUGGGAAGGAGAGCAGAAAGAGGUGAAAUGGCUUUCCUUGCACAGAAAGGACCUGCAGAGCAGCCAGUGUCUGGAUAAGGCUCAUCCCAGUGCCUGGAUAAGGAUCAUCCCAGUGCCUGGAUAAGGCUCAUCCCAGUGCCUGGAUAAGGAUCAUCUCAGGCUGCCACAGUCCCAAGCUGUCCUUGAGGCUGAGGUAGUAGAUUGAAUAGUUGUGGAGUCUGGUCCUCCCUCUGAGCUAACUAUACAAUCUACUGUCUUUCCUAAGGAGACAGUCAGGUCUUCAGGUCUGCUCAUCCACUUCUGCACCAGGUGUGGGGGCAGGUGGUGCAACUAAAGCAAAUCGGUGUCGGUGAUGCGUCUGUUCUGCUCUGUGGAGGUGAGGUAGUAGGUUGUAUAGUUUGGUGGGAGGGAUUUGAUCCCAUUUCAGGUGAUAACUAUACAGUCUAUUGCCUUCCUUAAAGAGCAGCAAAACCACCGGCAGGGAGGAGCUCCCGAGGCAUCGCUUCCUUUGUUGAGGAUCCAGAAACGCAGCGUGGCAUUGUUAAACAACUCAGUGGGUGUUUCUCUUACAGUGUCCAAAAUUGCAUUCUUCCAGGAAUUGCUUCAUGCCUCAGGCACUGGAGCAUGGAGCCACCUGCUUCCAGGGAACCCACCUCUGUUUAAGGUGUGAGAGAACCAGGGAAAUGAGUUUGCACAGCAGCUCACAGUGUUCAGUUCUGUUCUUUUUUUGCAGGAGAUGGGCUCAAGUUGUAAAGUGUUUAAGUGUGUUGAUUUUUCUGGUCUGACCUCAGGUCUGGAGGGGAGUAGAUACUUUGGUAUAAAUGGGACAGAUCUGAGCUUGUGAUUGAAUUUUGUUGUGCCCAUUUCUGAAGUUGGGGUUCAGAACCAGACCCAAGAGCAAGUUUAGCCUGUGGACUCAGAGCCCUGGGAGCUGAUCAGAUCUGGCUGGUUGGCCCCUGCUCAGGAAGUGCAUUUUGUUUUGGACAAGUUCCCAGCCUGUCCCAUGGAACAGAGUUAGAGGGUGGUUCUUUCUGAUCUGAUAAUCCCGUAUCAACUGAACUCGCUCACAUGCAAACCCUGUCAGGGGAAGUUUAGGACUCAUGGCUCUUUGUAUAGGAUGAGCCAAUGAUUCAGACUAAAAUCUUGUUCUAAAGUGGAGACAGGUAGGGAAGAGCCAAAGGGAGCAGGUUCUAAUCCUUCUGGGUUCACCCAGGCACUGUCACCUGACAGCAGACAUGUGAGAAGUCAUCACGCUUCAGAGCUCUGGCCCUUGGCAAGGGACAGGGAAUUGUUAAUUCUUCUCUUUCUUAGGAGCAGGUGGGACUAUCCCUCUGCCGUUUUCCAGAGUAAGUAGGAUCAAGACCACGAGUGGAGCUGUAACACGAUCAGGGCUGCAUCAGGAAGGACAUUUCAGGCCAUUAUCACAACCAUCUUACUGCCAGGGAGACGCGUGAGAUCCGAGACUCCGGGGAGCGAGGGCAAGCAGAGGACACCUUCUCAGAUGAAGUGGGAGGGAGAGAGCAAGGAGAAAUUGGAGCCCGCAAAUUUCACCCUGAGCAGAGGCACAGGGAGAGCCAGACCUGGCUGCCAGGGCCGUGGGAGUCCCCAGAAUGAAGCAGCUCCUUUCAGGCCCCUCUGCUGGGACAGGGCGUAGCUACAGCGAGGCUGGGACACAGCUGGUGGGUGGGGAUGCUGCAGUUCCAAGCGGCGAAGGAAUGCAGCCCUCUCUCCAUAAAUCUGGCUUUUCAGCAGUCCUGGCGACUUGCUGUGCAAAACUACAGCUUGGUCCUCUGAGCUGCAUUAUUAUCCUCCAGCUGCUUGCUCAGGGGCAGGGCGCCUGCCCACAGAUUGCUUGGAAGGUACCAAAAUAGCACCACAAGCAUGGGAACAGGGCGGCAUAUCCACUUCAUCUGGAGAGGUGUCCCCUGGAAAAGAGCUAAUCCCACGUGUCCCAGAUGGAAUCUGUUCAGUCUCCCUCCGUGACAUUGAUACUAACACUGAGAAGCUCAAACAGUGGAACUGUGUGACCUGGAAGCUGUGAAUAAAGUAUUACUGGAGGUACUCCCUUGUGAAAAUAAACUUGGUUUGACUUUU